rnacentral:lncRNA from 1 species
CCAGGUCUUUGGCCGAUGCAUCAGACGGUUCACCUGCAAAAUACAGCCGCCAGUACGUGCGCAUUCCCGUGGAAGACUGUGAAACCACAGACCUUUUGGAGCAUAGUCCAGACUGCCAAGACUCCAUUAUCAUUCGUGACAUCACAGAUGCUCAAGAGGAAGAGGAGGAAGCAGAAGCUGCUGCCCCAGAGAAGCUUUUGGCGCUGGUGCACUCCAAUCAUGAAAGUUGGAAGGCUCCUGUGCCCACCCGAGAAGGAAUUCCCACUUGUGGAACACAAGAGACCCCUGAGCCAGAAGUGCCCCAAGGGGACCGUUCGGUUCAGCUCACGGAUGGCCCCCUCCAGUCCAGUGCUAUGGAGUUGCACACUCCACAAGUCAGCGCCAACGAAGAAGCCGCAGCCGUGAUCGAUUCCAUCAUCAGUGAAAACCAAACCAUGGCAUCAAGUGACUCUUUCCUUGACAGGUGCGUCUGCUUUCAGAGAGGCAACACCUGGCAGGAUUAUCCCCUGCCAAAGAACCAUGGCAUCGGGGGAGGUUAGCCUGUUCCUUGCCACCCUUGACAAGGACCUGCCUGGCAUCAGACAGCAGCCUCCCCCAAUUUAUUAUUAUUAUUAUUGUUUAUUAAUGAAACGCUUGUUUUUUCCCUUUGUUUCUGGAGCUGUUGUCUCCCUCAUUCUUCAGUGUCCCUUUGGAAGGGAAAAGACUUCUGAGUAUUUCUCUUGAGCAGCAACUGUAAAUUCCUUGCUGGAUUCUUCCUCCUUAUUUCUCCAGUGUAAACUGCUAUGAAAGGAACC